rnacentral:sRNA from 1 species
UGUAUCGGAAGCCUGACGAGGAUGAGAACCUCCGGGGGCAAGAGGUUCGACUCGAGCGCAGCGAGAGAACGUUGCGUCAGCAACGGCCCGCAGGGCGAGCCACGCAGUGGCGAGUC